UGUUUAAUAAUACAAGCUUUGUUCUGCACUUAAUAUUAAAUGGCAUCACAUGCGACUAACUCACAUGUUAAAAAUGUGGUAUGCUGUUUGCACAGCCACACUGCUAUUCUGCAACAAUGCUUCUUGUUAAAGUAACAUCGAUACUGGUGGAUAAAUAACUGGAUGUGUGGAAAUGUCCAAGAGCAGUUCCAGAUGUGUUGGGAGGGGAGAUCUUACGCUUGAGCCUCUGUGAUUCCAGCAGGUCCCGCCCUGAAGAUUUGGAUUUCCCACCAUUAAGCCAUCUGGAUUCCCAUUUUUGCUUCCAAAGCAUCCACAGAAUGAAUUGACAAUGGUCAAUUGACAGUGUUGGCUGGAUGUCGCUGUUGAACUUUUUGACUGAAGGAAAAUGACUCGGUUUCUCCAAUGUUCCAAAACAGAGAUGGUUGAUGUGACCUUCCAACUGGAAUCCAGUGGCUUCAGACUUUAUUUUAGUGUACUUACAAACACUAUUGUACACUCAAAAUACUUAUUUAUAUUAAUCUUUUUGUCUAAAGAAACUGAGUGCAACAG